GACGAACGCUGGCGGCGUGCUUAACACAUGCAAGUCGAACGGUAAGGCCCUUCGGGGUACACGAGUGGCGAACGGGUGAGUAACACGUGGGUGAUCUGCCCUGCACUUCGGGAUAAGCCUGGGAAACUGGGUCUAAUACCGGAUAGGACUCCUGGCUUCAUGGUUGGGGGUGGAAAGCUUUUGCGGUGUGGGAUGGGCCCGCGGCCUAUCAGCUUGUUGGUGGGGUAAUGGCCUACCAAGGCGACGACGGGUAGCCGGCCUGAGAGGGUGACCGGUCACACUGGGACUGAGAUACGGCCCAGACCCAUACGGGAGGCAGCAGUGGGGAAGAUUGCACAAUGGGCGCAAGCCUGAUGCAGCGACGCCGCGUGAGGGAUGACGGCCUUCGGGUUGUAAACCUCUUUCAGCUAUGACGAAGCGCAAGUGACGGUAGUAGCAGAAGAAGGACCGGCCAACUACGUGCCAGCAGCCGCGGUAA
rnacentral:rRNA from 1 species